rnacentral:rRNA from 3 species
AAAUUGAAGAGUUUGAUCAUGGCUCAGAUUGAACGCUGGCGGCAGGCCUAACACAUGCAAGUCGAACGGUAGCACAGAGAGCUUGCUCUCGGGUGACGAGUGGCGGACGGGUGAGUAAUGUCUGGGAAACUGCCCGAUGGAGGGGGAUAACUACUGGAAACGGUAGCUAAUACCGCAUAACGUCGCAAGACCAAAGUGGGGGACCUUCGGGCCUCACACCAUCGGAUGUGCCCAGAUGGGAUUAGCUAGUAGGUGGGGUAACGGCUCACCUAGGCGACGAUCCCUAGCUGGUCUGAGAGGAUGACCAGCCACACUGGAACUGAGACACGGUCCAGACUCCUACGGGAGGCAGCAGUGGGGAAUAUUGCACAAUGGGCGCAAGCCUGAUGCAGCCAUGCCGCGUGUAUGAAGAAGGCCUUCGGGUUGUAAAGUACUUUCAGCGAGGAGGAAGGCGUUGUGGUUAAUAACCACAGCGAUUGACGUUACUCGCAGAAGAAGCACCGGCUAACUCCGUGCCAGCAGCCGCGGUAAUACGGAGGGUGCAAGCGUUAAUCGGAAUUACUGGGCGUAAAGCGCACGCAGGCGGUUUGUUAAGUCAGAUGUGAAAUCCCCGGGCUCAACCUGGGAACUGCAUUUGAAACUGGCAAGCUUGAGUCUCGUAGAGGGGGGUAGAAUUCCAGGUGUAGCGGUGAAAUGCGUAGAGAUCUGGAGGAAUACCGGUGGCGAAGGCGGCCCCCUGGACAAAGACUGACGCUCAGGUGCGAAAGCGUGGGGAGCAAACAGGAUUAGAUACCCUGGUAGUCCACGCCGUAAACGAUGUCUACUUGGAGGUUGUGCCCUUGAGGCGUGGCUUCCGGAGCUAACGCGUUAAGUAGACCGCCUGGGGAGUACGGCCGCAAGGUUAAAACUCAAAUGAAUUGACGGGGGCCCGCACAAGCGGUGGAGCAUGUGGUUUAAUUCGAUGCAACGCGAAGAACCUUACCUGGUCUUGACAUCCACGGAAGUUUUCAGAGAUGAGAAUGUGCCUUCGGGAACCGUGAGACAGGUGCUGCAUGGCUGUCGUCAGCUCGUGUUG